GACGAACCGUGCGAACGUUGUUCGGAAUCACUGGGCUUAAAGGGCGCGUAGGCGGUCUGCCAAGUCCGGGGUGAAAGCCCCCCAGCUCAACUGGGGAAGUGCCUUGGAUACUGGCGGACUCGAGCGAGGCAGGGGUAGUGGGAACUUCCGGUGGAGCGGUGAAAUGCGUUGAUAUCGGAAGGAACGCCGGUGGCGAAAGCGCACUACUGGUCCUCUUCUGACGCUGAGGCGCGAAAGCCAGGGGAGCAAACGGG
rnacentral:rRNA from 1 species